CUGUCUCUGUGAAUCUGAUUACGCUAGGUCCUUCCCAUCAGUGGAAUCAUACAGCAUUUCUCUUUUUGUGACUGCCUUAUUUCACUUUGCAUAACGUCCUAAAGGUUGAUCCAUGUCUUAGCAUGUGUCGGAAUUUCCUUCCUUUUUAAGGCUGAAUUAUGUUUGACUGUAUGGAGAGACCACAUUUGUUUAUCUCUAGGCGGGCACUUGGAUUGCAGCUAUUUUUCAGCUCCUAUGAACAAUGCUGUGCCGAGACCAGCUCAGCCUCAGAGACCGCAACUCAUGCGGCAGUGAAGGAAUUAAGAAACAGACACCGACAUAGCAAAAGGUUCAAGCAAUUCUCCUGCCUCAGCCUCCUGAGCAUCUGGGAAUUCAUCAGCCAAGCUGGUCUCAAACUCCUGACCUCAAGUGAUCCGCCCAUCUCGGCCUUUCAGAGUGCUGGGACUCCAGGCGUGAGCCAAUUCUCCAACCUUCCCAUGGAGUCACACCACCUCCUGUCUUGGCACUUCAUGAGUCCAGUGGUCUUUCCCAAGAGGAUCUGGUUGGCAGAC